GAUGAACGCUGGCGGCGUGCCUAAUACAUGCAAGUCGAGCGAAGCGGGGACGGGUGAGUAACACGUGGAUAACCUCCUAUAAGACUGGGAUAACUGCGGGAAACCUGGGCAAGACCGGAUACUUAUCGAUGGAUCCGCGUUGCAUUAGCUAGUUGGUAAGGUAACGGCUUACCAAGUCAACGAUGCAUAGCGGACCGGAGAGGGUGAUCGGCCACACUGGAACUGAGAAACGGCCCAGACUCCUACGGGAGGCAGCAGUAGGGAAGCUUGCGCAAUGGGCGAAAGCCUGACGGAGCAACGCCGCGUGAGUGAUGAAGGUCUUCGGAUCGUAAAAUUCUGUGAUUAGGGAAGCGGUACCUAAUCAGAAAGCAACGGCUAACUACGUGCCAGCCGCCGCGGUAAUAC
rnacentral:rRNA from 1 species